AGCGCGUUGGAGGAAGGCUCGCUCGACGACGAAGGGCGUGCCGCGCGGUAGUGCGGCGUGCUCUCCGUCGGGGAGCGAGGUUCCCGGUAAGGGACGAGGUCGAUUCGGUGGCGGAGGUUGACCACGACUGCUCUGCUCGUCGCGGGAGUGCGAGAGCGCAUGGGAGGAUGGCUCGCUCGACGGCGAAGGGUGAGCCGCGCGGUAGAGUGGCGUGUUCUGCAUCGGGCAGCGAGGUUUCCGGUCGGACAGCGAGCUCUGCAGCGUAGACGGGGAAGAUCUAGUUGUGGGUGUCGUCUUGCUUCGAGGUGACAAAGUUAUGCGAAGAAUUCUGACCAGGUCGACUUACAGAGGUGGUCGUACACUGGAUGUGCCAUUAAAUUUCCGAGGUUUCAAGCACUGGCAGUUGCUUCCUCUCACACAGCCAGCUCCACAGUCACAGAAAAAACGACUUGAUCGAGAAUAAACAACGCGAUGCCCACGAUGGCACACCUUGGAACAUACAGAAGAACAGGUCAGUGUAUCCAGCAUGAUCUUCCCUGUGGUUGAUUAGACUCAUAAAUAUAGCAUCACACUGUCCAUAAAUGGAUCUGAAUAUUCGAUCUCAUCUUACAGCCAUCACCAUGCUAAGCAGUUUUGAAAUAACAUCCACAUCAACUUGAUCUCUGUCUCCUGGUUGCAUGAUCUUUCUGUAUCCAUCAAAGCACAUUGUAAUAAAUAAGGAGAAUGACAGGCGUUCCCGACCGCAGGUAGUUCCCGACUGCAGUUACGACAAGUUGCUGGAGCAGCAGCAGAAAGACUAUUCUUCUCCCAAUUGCAAAUUUGGCUCCAAAACCUGGGAUCCAUGGAGAUGUGGAGGAGGAAGAAGACCUAGAGUUCUUUUUGGCGAGAGGGAUGACGAGAGAGAGGGGGUUGUUGGGGGUACGGUUGUACCGUGGGUUGGUAGAUGUACAUGGUCCACGCCCUACUGGGUUGUUCUUUUGUCUGGACGUGCAUUCUUCUGUAAUGGGCUAUUAUUCCUUGUCGUUCCCGAUCGGGUGCUGUGCCGGACAAACCAGCAUCCGGAUGUUGGGUUUGCCAAACUAGCAUCCAGAUGUUGGGUCAGGCAAACCAGCACCGGAUGCUGCCUAGCCCGGUCC